CAUAUGGAGAAUGGAAUUAGAUACCCCAGUAGUCCUAUCUGUAAACGAUGGAUACUAGGUGCUGUGCGUAUCGACCCGUGCAGUGCUGUAGCUAACGCAUUAAGUAUCC
rnacentral:rRNA from 1 species